rnacentral:rRNA from 1 species
UACGAAGGGGGCUAGCGUUGCUCGGAAUCACUGGGCGUAAAGCGCACGUAGGCGGGUUCUUAAGUCAGGGGUGAAAUCCUGGAGCUCAACUCCAGAACUGCCUUUGAUACUGGGAAUCUCGAGUCCGGGAGAGGUGAGUGGAACUGCGAGUGUAGAGGUGAAAUUCGUAGAUAUUCGCAAGAACACCAGUGGCGAAGGCGGCUCACUGGCCCGGUACCGACGCUGAGGUGCGAAAGCGUGGGGAGCAAACAGG